AGUGAUUGGCAUUCUGUGUGGUGAACAGCAGGACCUAGACUGACCUUUGGCGUUUGGGUAACAGUGGCUGAUGCUACUGGUGGAGGAACCACACCUUGAGAAACACUGAUCUAGGCACCUUCCACUCCUCUCAGUCUAUAGAUGGGAAAAUGGAAACUUGGAGAGGGUGGUGCUUACCCCACGUCUCAAGUUUCCUGCUCCUGGAGAAGAAAGACACCAGGAGAUUAUGGGGUUUCCCUCUCAGUAGCUGGAUCAUUCUGAAAGCGUUUUUCUUUGAAGGCAACAUAACUAGGAAGAAAUAAAUGGCUUCGGGCAUGCUGGACUUGCAAACACAAAUUUAUGAAGUAACAGCUAGUGUCAUGAUGCUCCUGCCUCAAGAUGCCCUCCCAACCCGGAGCCUGGCUGCUUGGGUGAAACAUUUUCCCCUCCCUGAAUUGUCUUGCAAAAUGUAAACACACAUUGUCACUCUGAAGGAGUUAGUUUAUCAGAUUUCUUCCCUUGGUGAUAGGAGGGAUCUAGGGCAGGCUGAGCAGGAAGGUGAGGUGGAGGAUGACAGAAGC
rnacentral:lncRNA from 1 species